CAGGCACUAUGUGAGGCACCGUAGAUACAUCAGUGAACAAAACAGAUAAAAAUCCCUGUUCUAAAACAGCAUGGUUGUUCCUCAAAAAAUUAAAAAUAGAAUUACCAUAUGAUCCAGCAGUUACACUUCUGGUAUAUGCCCAAAAGAACUGAAAACAGGAUCUCAAAGAGUUAUUUAUACACCCCUGUUUAGAGCAGCAUUAUUCACGAUGGCCAAGAGGUAGAAACAACCGAGGCAUCCAUGGAUGGAUGAAUGGAUAAACAAUAUGUGGGCUGCAGGAGAGCGAAUGAGUGCAGAGUGAAGAGUGGAAAAGCCCCUUACAAAACCAUCAGAUCUCUUGAGAACUCACUCACUAUCACAAGAACAGCAUGGGGGUAACUGCACCCAUGAUUCAAUUACCUCCCACCAGGUCCCUCCCACAACACAAGGGGAUUAUGGGAACUACAAUUCAAGAUGAGAUUUGGGUGGGGACACAGCCAAACCAUAUCAACAGGUUCAUUCAUUAUACUAUUAUUUUAAAACUUUUUGUAUAUAAACCAAAACAGCCAGGGGUGAGAACCUCAGAGCCAGCCAC
rnacentral:lncRNA from 1 species